CGCGGACGUGUUCGGCCUUUCACGUCCGGGAAGUGUGGUUCUGUGUUCGUUGUCGCGUCUUCUGUCCUGAGUGGUCUUUGGGACAGCUUUUGGGCUUAGAUAAAAUGCCGGAGAUUCAAGAGUCUUGUAGUGGGAGGUCUAGGUCAGCUUCGGAAGCCCGCGGGGUGGGGAGCCUGAGCCGCCUCGGGCGUUCCUCACGUCGCGCGGCGGCCACGUGCGGCCCGGGGCGCUGAGUCCCAGGCCCCGCGCUGGUGGGCUCUGGGCCCGCGGGCAAAGGUUCAGAGUAUCGGCCGAGUCCGGCAAGGUCAGCAGUUCCGCUGUCGGUGCCAUGUGGCCAUCGGGAACCCCCUUCGCCACUGUGAAAUCGUAACACCGCAGGCAGACACCCGCCAGUUUGAUCCACGUGGGAUCAAGAGGUCCAAAGUGACGUGGGUGAAGUAUUUAGCAUCCUGCACUGCACUGAACAAACAUGUUCAGCGUCAACAGCUUUGGGAUUGAGUGGCAAAUGAUCUGGAAACUCGCACUAUUUUCAAUCUUGUAUGUUAUUUUUUUUUAGUAUGAUAUUUAAGAGAGUGCUUCCUUGUUAAAUAAAAUGCUUGAUUCAUCUGGAUAA